AAAAGAAAUGAGGGAAACAUGUCCCCAGGGAGCAGGCAGUGAGGACAGGUGGUGUUACCUUACUCGGGUGGAAAAGGGAGAUCCCUCCCAGCCAUCCGGAAAAAUGCAAGAAAAAUCAAAACAAUUAAGCAGCCGUUAGCAGCUCAAGUAACUGCCCUCAUAUGUGUAAGCAGGCUUUUGUAAUCCACGAUAAACUGGGUGACUCUACUUAUGUCCAAGAUAAGCGCCAAGAGUGAUGCAAGCUCCCACCAGAACCAGAC